rnacentral:rRNA from 1 species
AACGGGUGCGUAACACGUGAGCGACCUUGCCUCGUGGUGGGGGAUAGCCGGCCCAACGGCCGGGUAAUACCGCAUAGGGUAGUUCUUUCGCAUGGGAGAACUAGCAAAGCCUUGCAGCAAUGCAAUGGCGCCACAGGGGGGGCUCGCGGCCUAUCAGCUAGUUGGGGGGGUAAUGGCCCACCAAGGCGACGACGGGUAGCUGGUCUGAGAGGAUGGCCAGCCACAUUGGGACUGAGAGACGGCCCAGACUCCUACGGGAGGCAGCAGUGGGGAAUCUUGCGCAAUGGCCGAAAGGCUGACGCAGCGACGCCGCGUGGGGGAGGAAGGCCUUCGGGUUGUAAACCCCUGUUGCCCGGGACGAAUGUGCAUUUUUGAAUGCAUUGACGGUACCGGGUGAGGAAGCACCGGCUAACUCCGUGCCAGCAGCCGCGGUAAUACGGAGGGUGCAAGCGUUGUCCGGAAUCACUGGGCGUAAAGGGCGCGUAGGCGG